UGCGGCUGGAUCCCCUCCUUUCUAAGGAAGCAGGCGCUAGAUCUGAUCUCUGAUCGAUCUGUUCCAGCUUUACUUACAUCGACCGGAUCUGUUCAGGUCCGCCGUCCUCGUAUCCCUUCUCGAUCGUUGGAACCUAGGCGCCGCGCCUAGAGAUCAACCUUGGCCGAUUGGCCUUCAGCGAGGCGAUCAGCGCCAGUGAUUGGGGCUGUAGCUCAGUUGGGAGAGCGCCUGCUUUGCAAGCAAGAGGUCAUCGGUUCGAUCCCGUUCAGCUCCACCAAGUUUUAGUGUUGGAGUGUUGUGGGCGAGUGGGGGCUAGUAGCUCAGUUGGUUAGAGCGCGCGCUUGAUAAGCGUGAGGUCGGAAGUUCAAAUCUUCCCUGGCCCACCAUCUUCUUCCAGCGAUUGAGAUCGAAAAGAAUUGAGAAUGGGUAUCGGAGGUUUGCGCCUUCGGCUUGUUCUUUGGCUGUUUGGCAUUGUGGAUCGGAUGCAAAGCACGCUUGGACGCAGGUUCACGCGCGCGUGGUGGCGAGAGCUGCUGCGCGGCGAUGGAGUUGGGUUCGAAGCAGUGCACGAGUAAAUGAAGUAGCUAAGUUGUGCCGAGCCGUUGCGCACGGGACGAAGGACGGGGGAGCUCCGAAGGCAAGCCCGUGGUCAUGAAUGAGAGUUCAUGGCCGAAGAUUGGGUCCGCAGAUACAAGAGCUGCGGUGAUCCCGGUCUCGUCAACAAAAGGCCCCGCCUUGCGGGGUGUUUGUCACUGUGUGCGAUGGGUUGUGAUCAA
rnacentral:tRNA from 1 species